GACGAACCGUACGAACGUUAUUCGGAAUCACUGGGCUUAAAGGGUGCGUAGGCGGCGCAGAAAGUAGGGUGUGAAAUCCCUCGGCUCAACCGAGGAACUGCGCUCUAAACUACUGUGCUCGAGGGAGAUAGAGGUGAGCGGAACUUAGGGUGGAGCGGUGAAAUGCGUUGAUAUCCUAAGGAACACCGGUGGCGAAAGCGGCUCACUGGACCUCUUCUGACGCUGAGGCACGAAAGCUAGGGUAGCAAACGGG
rnacentral:rRNA from 1 species